rnacentral:rRNA from 1 species
UACGGAGGGGGCUAGCGUUGUUCGGAAUUACUGGGCGUAAAGCGCGCGUAGGCGGCUUUGUAAGUUAGAGGUGAAAGCCCGGAGCUCAACUCCGGAAUUGCCUUUAAGACUGCAUCGCUAGAAUCAUGGAGAGGUUAGUGGAAUUCCGAGUGUAGAGGUGAAAUUCGUAGAUAUUCGGAGGAACACCAGCGGCGAAGGCGGCGCUCUGGGCCGGUACUGACACUGAGGAGCGAAAGCGUGGGUAGCAAACAGG